rnacentral:lncRNA from 10 species
CCGAGGCAGGAGGAUUGUUUGAACCCAAGAGUUUCAGACCAGCCUGGGCACCACAGGAAGACCCUGUCUCAAUGAAAAAAAAAAAAAAAAUUUAGCAGGGCGAGGUGGUGUGUACCUGUCAUCCUAGCUACUCAGGAGGCUGAGGUGGGAGGAUCACUUGGGCCCAGGAGGUCAAGCCUGCAGUGAGCCAUGAUUGCACCACUGCACUCCAGCCUGGACCACAGGGCAAGACACUGUCUCAAAAAAAUUCAACCUUUAUAUAUGGGAAAAUUUCAUUUAAAAAUCUACACUUCUGACUUCUCUUAAAAUAUGAGAACUGCUCCCCUGCACCCCACUGGCAGCAGUUGGUCAGGGGUAAGGAGUGACUGCCCCUUAAGGCAGGGCCAGCAUUUUCCAGUUUUCCUCAGCCUGCAGGACUCUCUGCUGUCUGUCGCUGUGACUGAAGGUGGUGGCCAUUCCCCAGGAUGGCCUGCGUGUGGCUUUGUUAGAGGAGCAGGGAAAGGGGAAAGGGAAGAAUUUCUUAUUCCCAUGGGGAAAGUGGGUGUCCUACAGCCCCAGUCAUUUCAGGAAGCGAUUAGAGUGGGGCUUUGGGGUGGGGGUGUGGAGUGAGAAUUUUAAAGGCUCGAUAUGCAAACGAGUGUCUCCUCCUGGCCACACCAGGCACAGGGCCCAUGAGGCAGCCGGGAAACGGGCUCUGAGUCUUGCGUGAAAGCGUAUGGGACGCGCAUCCUCGUGGCUCUUUGGGAAACGUGGUGGGCCACAGGCUGGUCCGGGUGCCAGAACGGCCAUCAGACCCUGUCCCUGCCUUGCUCCAGCUCUGUUCUCAAGGCUGCUUUCCUGGUGUGGGAGCAGCAUCCGCUCAGAAGCUCCAAGUUCUGGUUUUGUCAGGUGAGCCUGCCCAUGCCUGGGUCAGUCCUGGUGAUUCUGAUAGGCCCAGCCCGAGUCAGCCUUCAGCUGUGUGGUCUGUGGUGACUGGGGUGUGGGUACAGACGCCAGGCGGGCCCGCAUGCCUGUAUAACCUCGCGCCCUCCUGGGCCGCUGCUUUGUUGGCAUGUGUUGAUCAUGCUCUUGCAGGGUGCUGAGUCUGUGGGCCUGGGAAGGGCAGCUGCAUGCAUGAUCUCCAAGGGAAGGGCGGGAGCCACAGCACAGUGAUUACAAACGCAGACUCCAGAUCCAGGCUGCCUGGGUUCAAAUCCUGACUCGUCCCAGACCAGCUGUGUGGCCUUGGGCAAGUUACCGCACCUCCCUGUGCUUCAGUUUUCUCCCCUGUGAAAUGGGGACAGUAAUGACCCCUAGUUCACAGGUUGUUGGGAGGAUUUAACCUCAGCCCAUAUAAGUUCUCCUCACCUGCUAGAAAUCAUCCUUUGUCUUAUGCCGUGGUCUCUACAUAUGAAGGGAAUUAACUUCUCAUCUAGUAAAUCUGUGACAAAUAUUCUUUCCCUGGAUGGUUGUCUGUCUUUGAGUUUGUUACGGUAAUUUUUUUUGCCUUGCAGAAUAUUAUAUUUAUGCACUUAAAUUUAUUAGUCUUUUCUUAUGACUCCUAGAUUUUUAUUUUUCCUUUUUUUGUCUUGUCAAAAAAGAUCUUUCCUCAUUUUAUUUUUUGGAUGUUUUAGGAUUCAGUGCUUAUAACAAGAAAAAAUUAUCAAAUUAGUUUGUCAAUAUUGUGCUUGUUUCUUUUUCCUUCAGAUUUUUCCUUGUUGUAUUGAUGGCCCAACUCCAUGAGGCAAAGUUCCUUAAAAGGCUAAUAUGGAAGGCACAUUGUGAAUUUGUUAUGACUCUAUGAAGACGUGAAUUGAUACUUAAAUAUAAGCUGUUGCUCAGGUAGAAGUCAUUGUUUUGUGCGUUGAGUUAACUAAAUGAAAAGCUUGGUUACCGGCACCAUGGAUGGCCUUCGAUCUACCCUUACCUAACACCACAUGGAAUUUUUUUAUUUUUAUUUUUCUUCCUGAACAGAAAGACAUUUGGCCAAGACAGGCUCAUUUUGAAUUGAGUGAAAGAAAUUUUAAAAUGCAGCAAAGUUUUUGGAA